CGGGUGCGGAACACGUACAGAACCUCCCCCCCAGCGGGGAAUAGCCCCUGGAAACGGGGAUUAAUACCCCAUGACAUAACCUUGUGGCAUCACAUGGUUAUUAAAGGUUGACCACUGGGGGAUGGCUGUGCGGCCGAUUAGGUAGUUGGCGGGGUAAAGGCCCACCAAGCCUUCGAUCGGUAACUGGUGUGAGAGCACGACCAGUCACACGGGCACUGAGACACGGGCCCGACUCCUACGGGAGGCAGCAGUAAGGAAUAUUGGUCAAUGGGCGGAAGCCUGAACCAGCCAUGCCGCGUGGAGGAUGACUGCCCUCUGGGUUGUAAACUCCUUUUACGGGGGACGAAAAAAGGGCAUUCUUGCUCGUCUGACGGUACCCCGUGAAUAAGCACCGGCUAACUCCGUG
rnacentral:rRNA from 1 species